rnacentral:hammerhead_ribozyme from 1 species
AUCCAACUGAAAAGUCCCAAAUAGGACUAAACGCGCAUCCUGGAU